AGUCUUCUGUAUCCGUGCUGAGAUUUCGUCACACACCAGACCACAAAGGUUGAUGAGACUCCCAAGAUAAUAAUAAUA
rnacentral:pre_miRNA from 1 species